UCUGCAUUCACUUGUUCCCAUCUUCCUUUUCCAUAUACUCGUUCCGUCAUAAUUACACGUAUUUAUAUGUAUGUAUAUGCUGUUUUCAACAUUUGGAGGUCAUAUCAAGAAAGUGACGUUAAUUAUUUUGUUUCGAUAAUGAAACAUUUAUUCGGUGUAAUUACAUGUAAUUACAGUUAUAGUUUGAAAAAAGGUGUGAAUACAGGGUGAGACAGCCACUGGGUUGUUUCCAGAAGACGAUAAAGCGACAGAGGUAGCGUAGGAAAUGCGCCCAUGAAAAACUUCUGGAUGGUGGAUGGGCAAGGUGUUGGCUUCGAUUUCAAUAGCUUUCUCACAAAUACUAGUAGCCCUGUUGGUGAAUCCGAGUAUUCAUCUUCAUUUAUCAUCAAUGUGGGAAACUGUGUUUGCACCGCCGACAACUGUUGAAAAAUGCUUACCCAGUCCCCCGGAACUUGCUGGGCUACAGCUUUGGCUUCCAAAUCUCCAUGUACUGCAUCUAAUGGAAGUGGCAGAUCUGUACCAUCGGCAGUGAUUCCAGCACAAGCAAGGAGUUUGUCUUCUGUAAAUAACUUCUGGUGUAUAUAGUGCUACAAAAAGCGAUCGAUUUUGGUGCAACUGAUCGGUACAAAAUAAUGAUUUGACAUUUUUUUGACAUCAUCUGCAGCGGGAAAUCGAUUACUGCUGUCAACUUCCAGAUUAAAUAUCGUCACGUGUUCAAACACGAAUACAGCUCUUAUUUAAAUAGAUGAAUCACGGGAAGUCUCAUAAUCUUUGAACUAUCCCAAAAUAAUUAGUAGUCAUAUGUAUACAUCCGCGUUCAAUGUUUUACUCGCUAAAUUGAAAAAUUCUAUUUAUAUCCCAGAGUUAUUGCUCGUAAACUUAUCUUCAGUAUUACACCCGCAGUAUGUUCACAGAAUCAAUAACAAACUUUACUUCGACAGAAAGAAAUUUCCAUACAGAUUUUAAUUUAACGUCGCAAAUAUCUUUAUUAUAAAAGAAGAAUGAAAAAACAUAUUCCACUCGUCAGAAUAAAUACCUAUACCAUAGAUAUCCUAUACAUACAAUUUGUCUAAUUAUAAUAUCUAUGGAAUUUCAUAGGCGAUUUCACGCCAUGCACAUAAUUUUACAAAGUAUAUAAUGUUACAAUUUGCGGUUGGUAAUUAUGAAAAUUUCCGCCCGACCUGCAACAUCAAAUGUUCUGAGAAACUUUUUUUGAGAAGUCUCAUUCUUCCUAAGCAGCUGACGUAUUCAAAUUGAUCUGUUCGAAAACAGUCUUUGAGUAGUGGAAGAGGUGAGCUUGUAGCAAUGUAGUUGCUCCUAAAAAUAAAAAAAUCAAUUCUGCCUAUGCUGUUUGAACGUAAUAAUGUGAGAUGUAACGUAAAACAUGUAUAUUUAUCUUAUUAUACAUGUGUAUUUACACGUGACGCUAUCUUCCCUGCAACUCGCUAAUUGUCAUGUGACGCGAUAUUAUACGAGCAUUAUACUCACGCUGCAGGGUAUCAUUUAGCUAUACUUCUUUUUUUCGCUCGCCAGAAAACAAAUAUGAU
rnacentral:misc_RNA from 1 species